rnacentral:snRNA from 1 species
UUGCAUCUCACGCAACGU